UUUUCAGAAAUACGUUUUAUCCUCUAAACAUCAGAUCUUUGUAUAAUAUUUUGAUAUUUCUGUUUAUAUCAUUUUUAGAUCAGAAUCUCGCAUGUGUGCCAUCCUGGAACAAAAAGUACUUGUUUUUUAUAUCAUGAUUAACAUAAAGUCUUCCAGAUGCAUGUAGUAGAAUUUGUUUUCGUAUUUUCCCCUGUGAAUAGGAAUGUUUUUCAUAUGAUCACUAUUCAUCCACUGUAGAAAGUUGUCAAAUGCAAUUUUGAUUUUAUUACCAAAGAAAUAAAAGAUAAAAUCUU
rnacentral:lncRNA from 1 species